GUUGGAGCAUGCAUAAAUUGACACACAUGACACACUUUUACGGGUAAGUUAGUACCUUAAAGUAUCAAGAAACUCUUAAAAACCUAGAAAUCUUUCAAAGUAGAUUCGACCUAAAAAUUUUCUCGGAAACUCUAUAAAACCAAAUUAGAGCUUUAUGGUUGAGCUCAAAACCCUUCUCUCACACUUUGGUACUAUUGAGACAACCCUCUCAACCAAAGUGGACACACACAAGAGGUGAUUAGAGAAGUGAAAUAUUAAAACAAACAACACUUUUUACUUGUAGAGAUGAACAAGAAGAUUAGAAGAAGAAGUUGAAGAGCUUUUGAAGCUUUGGAAAUCUAAAACACUUGAGCACUUGGAAGCUUUGAGGCAAAAACGUUAGAGAACUCAAAUGUGGAGUGAAUAACUCUUUUGAUUUGCUUGUUGUGUGGUGAGUGAAAAUGAGGGGAUUACCCUUCUAUUUAUAGUCUUGGCCACUCAAUGUCCAACUUUGGAUCUUCAAUGAAUGACUCCUUGAUUU
rnacentral:lncRNA from 1 species